CAAUAGCGUAUAUUUAAGUUGUUGCAGUUAAAAAGCUCGUAGUUGGAUUUCGGAUGGGACUUGCCGGUCCGUCGUUUCGAUGUGCACUGGCCAGUCCUAUCUUGUUGUCGGGGACUAGCUCCUGGGCUUCACUGUCCGGGACUAGGAGCUGACGAGGUUACUUUGAGUAAAUUAGAGUGUUCAAAGCAAGCCUACGCUCUGAAUACAUUAGCAUGGAAUAACACGAUAGGACUCUGGCUUAUCUUGUUGGUCUGUGAGACCAGAGUAAUGAUUAAGAGGGACAGUCGGGGACAUUCGUAUUUCAUUGUCAGAGGUGAAAUUCUUGGAUUUAUGAAAGACGAACUUCUGCGAAAGCAUUUGUCAAGGAUGUUUUCAUUAG
rnacentral:rRNA from 1 species